rnacentral:rRNA from 1 species
GACGAACGCUGGCGGCAUGCCUAAUACAUGCAAGUCGAGCGAACAGAUGAAGUGCUUGCACUUCUGACGUUAGCGGCGAACGGGUGAGUAACACGUAAGGAAUCUACCUAUAAGCGGGGGAUAACAUUCGGAAACGGGUGCUAAUACCGCAUAAUAUCUUCUUCCGCAUGGAAGAAGAUUGAAAGACGGCUCUGCUGUCACUUAUAGAUGACCUUGCGGUGCAUUAGUUAGUUGGUGGGGUAACGGCCUACCAAGCCGAUGAUGCAUAGCCGACCUGAGAGGGUGAUCGGCCACAUUGGGACGGAGACACGGCCCAAACUCCUACGGGAGGCAGCAGUAGGGAAUCUUCCGCAAUGGGCGAAAGCCUGACGGAGCAAUGCCGCGUGAGUGAAGAAGGCCUUCGGGUCGUAAAACUCUGUUAUAAGAGAAGAACAAAUUGUAGAGUAACUGCUACAGUCUUGACGGUAUCUUAUCAGAAAGCCACGGCUAACUACGUGCCAGCAGCCGCCGCCG